rnacentral:tRNA from 1 species
GUGGGUAUAGCUCAAUGAUAGAACACAUGCUUUGCAUGCAUGAGAUCCUGGGUUCAGUCCCCAGUACCUCCA